rnacentral:rRNA from 1 species
GACGAACGCUGGCGGCGUGCUUAACACAUGCAAGUCGUACGGUAAGGCCCUUUCGGGGGUACACGAGUGGCGAACGGGUGAGUAACACGUGCGUAACCUGCCCACAACUUUGGGAUAACGCUAGGAAACUGGUGCUAAUACUGGAUAUGUACUCCUGCUGCAUGGGGGGGGUUGGAAAGCUCCGGCGGGUGUGGAUGGACUCGCGGCCUAUCGGCUUGUUGGUGGGGUAGUGGCCUACCAAGGCGGCGACGGGUAGCCGGCCUGAGGGGGUGACCGGCCACAUUGGGACUGAGGGACGGCCCAAGCUGCGACGGGAGGCAGCAGGGGGGAAGAUUGCACGAUGGGCGCAAGGCUGAUGCAGCAGCGCCGCGGGCGGGAAGACGGCCUUCGGGGUGAAAACCGCUUUCAGCAGGGACGAAGCUUUUUGUGACGGUACCUGCAGAAGAAGCACCGGCUAACUACGUG